UGAACGCUGGCGGCAGGCCUAACACAUGCAAGUCGAGCGGUAACAGAAAGUAGCUUGCUACUUUGCUGACGAGCGGCGGACGGGUGAGUAAUGCUUGGGACAUGCCUUGAGGUGGGGGACAACAGUUGGAAACGACUGCUAAUACCGCAUAAUGUCUACGGACCAAAGGGGGCUUCGGCUCUCGCCUUUAGAUUGGCCCAAGUGGGAUUAGCUAGUUGGUGAGGUAAUGGCUCACCAAGGCGACGAUCCCUAGCUGGUUUGAGAGGAUGAUCAGCCACACUGGGACUGAGACACGGCCCAGACUCCUACGGGAGGCAGCAGUGGGGAAUAUUGCACAAUGGGCGCAAGCCUGAUGCAGCCAUGCCGCGUGUGUGAAGAAGGCCUUCGGGUUGUAAAGCACUUUCAGUCAGGAGGAAAGGUUAGUAGUUAAUACCUGCUAGCUGUGACGUUACUGACAGAAGAAGCACCGGCUAACUCCGUGCCAG
rnacentral:rRNA from 1 species